rnacentral:rRNA from 1 species
GAUGAACGCUAGCGGCAGGCCUAACACAUGCAAGUCGAGGGGCAUCGCGGUGCAGCAAUGCACUGGCGGCGACCGGCGUACGGGUGCGUAACGCGUAUGCAACCUGCCCCGCACCGGGGGAUAGCCCGCCGAAAGGCGGAUUAAUACCCCAUGGCCCCGGGGGCCCGCAUGGGCAUCCGGGUAAAGCCUUGGCGGUGCGGGAUGGGCAUGCGUGCCAUUAGCUGGCUGGUGGGGUAACGGCCCACCAGGGCAACGAUGGCUAGGGGGUCUGAGAGGAUGGUCCCCCACACUGGUACUGAGACACGGACCAGACUCCUACGGGAGGCAGCAGUGAGGAAUAUUGGUCAAUGGGCGAAGCCUGAACCAGCCAUGCCGCGUGCGGGAUGAAGGCCCUACGGGUUGUAAACCGCUUUUCCCCGGGAAGAACUAAGCCCCCGCGGGGUGAGUGCCGGUACCGGGGAAUAAGGAUCGGCUAACUCCGUG